GGAAGUAAAAAGUCGUAACAAGGUUUCCGUAGGUGAACCUGCGGAAGGAUCAUUACCGAGUGAGGGCCCUCUGGGUCCAACCUCCCACCCGUGUUUAUUUUACCUUGUUGCUUCGGCGGGCCCGCCUUAACUGGCCGCCGGGGGGCUCACGCCCCCGGGCCCGCGCCCGCCGAAGACACCCUCGAACUCUGUCUGAAGAUUGAAGUCUGAGUGAAAAUAUAAAUUAUUUAAAACUUUCAACAACGGAUCUCUUGGUUCCGGCAUCGAUGAAGAACGCAGCGAAAUGCGAUACGUAAUGUGAAUUGCAAAUUCAGUGAAUCAUCGAGUCUUUGAACGCACAUUGCGCCCCCUGGUAUUCCGGGGGGCAUGCCUGUCCGAGCGUCAUUGCUGCCCUCAAGCCCGGCUUGUGUGUUGGGCCCCGUCCUCCGAUCUCCGGGGGACGGGCCCGAAAGGCAGCGGCGGCACCGCGUCCGGUCCUCGAGCGUAUGGGGCUUUGUCACCCGCUCUGUAGGCCCGGCCGGCGCUUGCCGAUCAACCCAAAUUUUUAUCCAGGUUGACCUCGGAUCAGGU
rnacentral:rRNA from 1 species